UCCCCGCACUCGGUUGAAGCCCCGCCCCCGUCCAACGGGCGCUCGGGCGAAGCCCCGCCCCCUCCAACGGCCGUUUUUAGGCCGCGUCUCCCGGCCGCUUCUCCCCCGCUUGAGGCGAGGCGGGGCGGGGCGGGGCGGGGCGCGGGCGGCGGUGUCUGCGCUGGUCCCUCGCGGGGCGGCACCUGAGCAGAUGAUGUGCCCUACACUUGGAUGAAACAUUGUCCUGCUCCUCCUCUGAGGAAGAGAAGUUAAAAGCAAAAUAAAAUUAAGGAGAUCUUUCCAAGUUUUACUUAGUGCUGAAAAAGAAGAGAAUGAAAGUGAUCUGUCUAUGCAAAGAGUUUGGGUUCAAUCCAGUUCCUCUGAUAUAUACAAAAGGAAAUUAAAGAAGUGAGUGUCACUUUCUCUGUGUAGACAGACCCAUGAAUAAAAGGUAAGGUGUAGAUAGUAACUAAAUAAUAUUGGACAGCUUUUCUCUGCAAGCUCUUUGUGGAGCCUAGGAAGAGGAAGAAGAAAGGAAUAAAAGUAACCAUCAUGAAAAAUUAAUGACUGUUUGCAAGCAAAAAUAGAAGAGGGGAAAAGAAGGAAAUAAAGGCAAGAAAAGAAGAAGAAGAAAGUGGCAAAUGAGGGGAGAGAGAGAGAGAGAAGGAACCUAAAGUUAUAGAGGCAAAAUAAGGAGACAUACACUACCAUUAUCAUCAUCUCUUGUGAUUUCAGUUCCAAACUUCAGCCUUAGGAAUUUCGCACAUCCUGAAAUUUCAAGAUCAUGUCUGAAACCUGUGACAUUUCAAAGAAACUCUUAAAAAUUACAACCAAUUAGAGAUUGCGGGGAGGGGAAGUACAUUUGCUGGAAGUCAGAUGAAGAGGAGCUGUCCUCCAAUUAUUUGAAGAAAAAAAAAAACAAACUCCUCCAGAAAGGCAGAGAAGUUCUAGACAGCAAAGGUAAGACCCUUGUGUUUUUGCAGACACUAGCUUCUCGCACUGCUCUAAAUGAUGCUGUUUGUUGUUGGCUACUACAAACAGUUCUUUCAGCGUUGUGGGCAGGUGGUGGCAUCCUCUUGCUUUUCUGAUGUAAGCUCUUCCGGUGGUUUUGUAGCAACUGCCUUUGCUAUACAUCUCAAUACACUUGUAGUAGAUUCUUUCAUUCUAAUUUAAGAUAAACUACCCUGUAAAGUUUUAAUUACUAAGACUACGUACUUAUUUUCCCUCUUACCAUUUUCUGGGUCUUGUACUGUUCUUCACUAUCUGUUCUUUCUAGAUAUUUCUAGUGCUGUCCACAGUAUUCCAAAAAGGAGAAAGUAAUAGGUGACACAAAAAUAAAAGUCACUGAGAUUUUUAGAGGUUUAUUAUUUUAACUGUCCAGUGGCUUUAGUUUAUGUCAGUCUUACAUGGAUAGUACAAAGGCCUGUUUAAAUUUUAUUACUUUACUUCUAUUUGCUUCUGAUAUUUUUUUAUUCCACUGUAUAACAACUGCUGUUUACGUUUGGCUUGUCUCUGGCAGACUAUGGCCCAAAUGCUUUUCUUUGCUACAUGAGCAUAAAUCUGAAUUAAUCCCUGCAUAAUUUACAGUGGGAUUUGGUUUAUGUAUCAUUUGUGUUUGUUUGCAGAAAUAUAUUGCCUUGUUCCUGAUAUGGGCGGAGAUUUUUCAAAGGUUUGAAGAAAAAUUAGGUGCCAAACACCUACUGUCAAACAAUUUUGAAUACAUGUUCAAAUUUUAAGUAAAGACCUGGUUACAGCCAUAUACAUUCUGUAAAUAUAACAUAGAAAUUGUCAGAUCAUUUUAUCUAGCCUGGAGACUGUCUGAUGGAAGACUGAAAAGUAAUUCCACAAUAUGUAUGCAAUUAAAUUUUUCACUGAGUUGUCUUGAGUAGGAUUACUUGGUAGGUGCUAGUUUGUGAAUCAGUUCAGGGUCAGGCCUUACUUGUGCAAUGUUGAUUAUGGGAGAGGAAAUUCUUUCUGGCCCUGGCAAACUAUCAGUUUAUACCUAGGAGCAUGAGGUCAGAUAAUGCAUAUAAUCAUCUUGGCCACUAUGGUAACUAAACAUUAACGAUAAUCACAAAAUUAGCUAAUGCUUUUGUCUAUCUUGACAUAGCAUCUGUCUUGAUGACCUGCUGCAGCAGUGAAUUCUGCAAAUUGACUGUAUACUGCAUAAAGAAGUAUAUUUAAUUGACUCUGGUUUUUUCCUUUCGAAUGUCAACUUAUCCUAAUGUUAUGGCAGAAGAGAAAAACAGAAAAUACAAUCACGCAGUAAUUCUAGAAUAUAUUGAAAUAGAGCCUUCUGUGGAGCCAAAAGAGGUUGGUAUAUCAUUUAUAAGGUUCAGAUAUAAUCUCAGCUAGAUUGGCAGGUAUUGCUUUGUUCCUUGUUGAAUCUGCCUAGUAGAGAUUUUACUGAUUCAGUUCACAUCAAUACGUACGGGGCUAUCUGAGGUCAAAAUCAGGUCAUACUUGGUAAUUUAUGCUUUUGAUUUCAGAACUGGGUAAAGAUGUACAGCAGGAUGUGCCAGUGUGUGCAGUCAAAGUUGGGCUUUUAGUUGUUAACAAAAAAAAAAUCAUGAACACUCAUUUUACCCAGUAGUCAUCACAUAAGAUUAAGCAUUUACCAGUUACCACAACAGUUUUCUAAGAUUACAUACUCUUUUCCCAGUGUUUAUAAUAGGAAAUAAUAAUGACAUCUGAAUUACCUGGGUGGCAUUACUCAGUAUUCAUUUUUCAGAUAGUGAUUUUUUCCAAAAAAGAAGCUGAAGUGGGGAUUGUAAAAAUCAGCAAUUGACUUUUUAAUGGAAAUUCCUGUGUUAACACGUUUUAAUGAACUUGUUUAAAAUUUCAAAAAUAUCUACAUAAUUUAGGAGCCAGAGUCUCAUUUUAGAAGUUGUUCAAGCUUACACCCACUGAAAGUUACCAGACACUUCUGAAGAUUUUGCUUGUAGUUUUGGACUCUGUUCAAGAAAGCAUUUAAUCAUGUUUAACUUUUAAACAUUUGCAUAUGUGCCACUGACUUCAUGUUGAAAUUCUGUCCCAAAUGGGCAUUGUGUUCCUGAGUCAGUGUCUUGGAGAGAGGAGCUAGCUUUCAGGUGUCAUUAAGCUCUUUUUUUUUAAUCACGUGCUUAUAACUCUUUUGUUGCCUUGCUGUGGUCCUGCCUUUAUGUCUGUCCCCCAGCUCACAUUUGACCGAAGCUGCAGGCUAGGUUCUAUGGCUUGAAUCAAAUGAUGCUGCUAUUUGUAAAACGUAGUUUGUUAUAGAAAUAAGAAGACUUUACGCCGGCAAGUUCAGUAUCCUCUUCAGUGCACUGAAAGGACAAUUCAACAGGGAAAUGGAAGGCCUGCUGCUAUAUGCAGCUGUCAUAAGACAUGGUCUUUUUUUCUAUCCUAAACCUUGCAGUCAAACAUUUCUAAAUUCCUCUUCUAAAUCUUGCAUGUUUCACGUUUAAAAGUCAUACUGGUGAAAUCUCUAAAUGAAGGUAGGCAAGUGUCAUUUGAGAUAUGCAGCUUGCUGAAACUGGUUUCAUCCAAAGGAGAUUCCUUGUGCUUACAUCACAGGAAUUUGGGCUCUUAUCAACUGAAGCAGUUAAAAAAUUCUCUAGCAUUUUACAGUGAAACCCUUCUUAAGCACCCAAUCCAGGGACCAAUUAAAAUCAUCUGCUACAUUAAUGUAUUGUAAAUAGCAAACAUAUUGAUUUGGAAGGACUUCUUUGAAGUGACUUUGCUGGACUUUUUGAUGGGCUCGUGGCUGGACUUUUUGAAGGGUUCUUGGCUGGAGUCUUCUGAGGAGUCUUGGCUGCAGGUUUUUCUGGAGUUCUUGUCUGCUUUUUUAAAGAAAGUGUCCAAGGAAGUUUGGACAGAUGUUCUCCAGGGAGAUGAGCGACGCAGCAAACUUGUUCGCUGGCACAGCAUUGCAUCGGAUCAAGUGGUGUAAGUCAAAACUGGUGUUGUAAAGUUGAAACUCGUGUCAAUUUGUAAACGUAAGUGCGAAAUGUUGUAACUCGAAAUGUUGUAAGUCGAGGACUGCCUGUAUAAACUCUUCACAGAGCCUCUCAGGAUUUUUCUGAAAAUAAAAAUAUAGCACUAAAGCAUGGUGUUUAAAAACUAAACUGGAUCAUGCAGAACUGCAUUUCUUUAAUUCACACAUUUUAUGAGAAAUAAUGUCUUAUAAUCAGUCUCAGGUCAUGCCUUUUGUUUCUGUGAACAAUUGUAACAUUUCUACAUUUUUGUUGGUGCAGGACAAACGUCAGAAUAUUUGACUGCUCCAUUGCUCCUGGACUACUACUUUACAACAUGCCCUCAUGGUUUUUUUGUGUUUAUUGUCCAAUUUUUAUCCAAGGAUUUAUUUUCUGUGUGUUGAUACAAUAAACGAUGGUAGUUAUCUCUGUAUAAACUUGUACCUUUAGAUCAUGAACGGGAAGAGUUGUGUUUUGCUUCUUUUUUUUCCAAAUGAGUAAUGUGCAAGUUAAAGGAAGAAUGUUAGUGUCAGCAGUUUUAUAUCUCCUUUCACUCAGUUUACUUCCUUUUUUAGGCUUAACAUUAAUUUGCCAGUACUACUCUUAAUUUAAUCAAUCUAACAUCACUUUGUAUUGUAUUUGUCUAUAUUCUGCACAUUUUCAUUAGAUAAUUUUCACUUAAGUGUUUUAACUUGUGCAUCAGUAUUAGUGUGGGUGGUGUCAUUUGAAGAUCAGUAUUCUAUAGUUAUUUAAUGAAAUCGUACUUCCUGGUUUAGAAUUAGCUCCAUAAUUCAAGUCAGAAUAUGUUAUCACUCAAUGGUGUUCCAUCCAAAACAAAACAAAUUAUUACAGGGUGAAUACUGCUUACAUUUAAAAAUAAAUAGUUUGCUUUUGCUA